rnacentral:rRNA from 1 species
GAAAUGAAUCUUAGUUCUCUCUUGAUCCCCUCCUCCUGACAAUCUAGCUUUAAUCCUUAUGUAGCAGGUCAAGAGUAAUUUAAAGGAGGUACAGCUCCUUUAAAAAAGGAUACAACCUCCAUUAGUGGAUAACCACCUAGACUCCUUCUAUAAACUGUAGGCCUUCAAGCAGCCACCAAUAAAGAGUGCGUCAAAGCUCUACCUAAAAAAAUCCAAUAACAAUACGACUCCCUUACCCACUAACAGGUUAACCUACGCCAGUAGAAGCAUCAAUGCUAAAAUGAGUAACCAGGGACCUUCCUCUCAAGCGCAAACUUACACUAUCCCGUUAUUAACAGACAGAAGCCAAUACCUCAAUUACAACAAGACUAAGAUAUUAACCUACUCUGUUACCCCGACUAAGGAGCGCCUACUAGAAAGAUUAAAAUCUGUAAAAGGAACUAGGCAAACCCAAGGCCCGACUGUUUACCAAAAACAUAGCCUUCAGCCCACCGAGUAUUGAAGGUGAUGCCUGCCCAGUGACAUAAUGUUUAACGGCCGCGGUAUCCUAACCGUGCGAAGGUAGCGCAAUCAAUUGUCUCAUAAAUCGAGACUUGUAUGAAUGGCUAAACGAGGUCUUAACUGUCUCUUACAGAUAAUCAGUGAAAUUGAUCUUCCCGUGCAAAAGCGAGAAUUGUAACAUAAGACGAGAAGACCCUGUGGAACUUAAAAAUCAGCGGCCACUAUAUACAAAUUUAAGCCUAUUAGGCUCACUACCAUUAGACACUGGUCCGCAUUUUUCGGU